GCCAGACUCCUACGGGAGGCAGCAGUAGGGAAUUUUGCGCAAUGGGGGAAACCCUGACGCAGCAACGCCGCGUGAUUGAUGAAGCCCUUCGGGGUGUAAAGAUCUGUCAGUGGGGACGAAACUUGACGGUACCCACAGAGGAAGCAUCGGCUAACUCCGUGCCAGCAGCCGCGGUAAUACGUAGGGGGCAAGCGUUAUCCGGAUUUACUGGGUGUAAAGGGAGCGUAGACGGCAGCGCAAGUCUGGAGUGAAAUGCCGGGGCCCAACCCCGGAACUGCUUUGGAAACUGUGCAGCUCGAGUGCAGGAGAGGUAAGCGGAAUUCCUAGUGUAGCGGUGAAAUGCGUAGAUAUUAGGAGGAACACCAGUGGCGAAGGCGGCUUACUGGACUGUAACUGACGUUGAGGCUCGAAAGCGUGGGGAGCAAACAGGAUUAGAUACCCUUGUAC
rnacentral:rRNA from 1 species